CCUGUCAUCGGUUCGAUUGUGAGCUAUCAGUUUCGUUUUUUUCUCUGAUGUGUGCGAGUGAUUGCUACGGCGGAUUGGCAACAUAAUUUUUAAAUUUGUGAAUUUUAUGUUACAACCACCCAAUGGAACAAUAAAUCUUUGUGCAAUAGAUUUGGUGUUGGACUGAAAUUGAUAAGAGGAAAAACAGCAUAUAAAAUCUAUGCCUAGUGUAUUUGCAGCUUAUGGGCGUGUGAACAGCCAACCUGCCUUCGUUUUUGUUAGUGCGUAUGUGUGUGUUUGCAUGGACUUUAAAGUUAAUGAAAAGCAGUAAAUUCAUUUGAAUGCAGUAAUUGCGGAUGUUUCGCAAUAUAAUUGAAAGUAAAAUCCAAAGUCGAUAAACAUUUGUUCUGUGGAAAAUAUAUGUAGUUAUCAAUUUUAAUACUAAUUCGACAAGCAAUUGCAUUUGGAAUUCAAGUGGGAGGGGAAGUAGUAUUCCGGGACAGCCGAUAGAAAAGUAGUGUAAAGAGGUAGAGCAGUAACCAGCGCAUAAGUACAUUUUUGAGUUCAAGGGUUGCCAAACUAAGAUAUUUCAAGUGUUCAAUUGUAAAGAGAUACAUAAAUGUAUUAUAAUAAUUGGCUUAUCAAAAAUAACCCUACAAAAAGUUAACUGUUACUUAAGUUCAGCAUAGAAAAUUCUUAACAUUUACAUACAUACUUACAUACAUAUGUACAUACUAUAUGUAUAUACAUAUUCGUUAAAUUAGCAAAAAUAAAAUAAAAACGGAUUAACAAUAAACGACGACGAAUACACAACGACAACGGCGGCAACUAACAUCUUGCAAGCGACCAAUAUCAAUUUCCGCUUACGUCGGUGAAAAACUAAUCAAUGAG